UACGUAGGGUGCAAGCGUUGUCCGGAAUUUAUUGGGCGUAAAGAGCUCGUAGGCGGUUUGUCGCGUCUGCUGUGAAAACUCGGGGCUUAACUCCGGGCCUGCAGUGGGUACGGGCAGACUAGAGUGCGGUAGGGGAGACUGGAAUUCCUGGUGUAGCGGUGAAAUGCGCAGAUAUCGGGAGGAACACCCGUAGCGAAGGCGGCACUCUGGGCCGUGACGUGACGCUGAG
rnacentral:rRNA from 1 species